AUGUUUUUGAAGAAGAGAAGAAGAGAAAAAAAAAAAAAAGGUUCACCCAGGGCGAGGCUCGGUCAUUGCACUCCAGUCGUGCUGACGCCUGCGAAUUCCCCAAAUGUGGGAAUCUCAACUGCAUAAUUUAUGGUAGUGGGGGACUGCGUUCGUGCUCUCCCCUG